GAUGAACGCUGGCGGCGUGCCUAAUACAUGCAAGUCGAGCGAACGGACGAGAAGCUUGCUUCUCUGAUGUUAGCGGCGGACGGGUGAGUAACACGUGGAUAACCUACCUAUAAGACUGGGAUAACUUCGGGAAACCGGAGCUAAUACCGGAUAAUAUUUUGAACCGCAUGGUUCAAAAGUGAAAGACGGUCUUGCUGUCACUUAUAGAUGGAUCCGCGCUGCAUUAGCUAGUUGGUAAGGUAACGGCUUACCAAGGCAACGAUGCAUAGCCGACCUGAGAGGGUGAUCGGCCACACUGGAACUGAGACACGGUCCAGACUCCUACGGGAGGCAGCAGUAGGGAAUCUUCCGCAAUGGGCGAAAGCCUGACGGAGCAACGCCGCGUGAGUGAUGAAGGUCUUCGGAUCGUAAAACUCUGUUAUUAGGGAAGAACAUAUGUGUAAGUAACUGUGCACAUCUUGACGGUACCUAAUCAGAAAGCCACGGCUAACUACGUGCCAGCAGCCGCGGUAAUACGUAGGUGGCAAGCGUUAUCCGGAAUUAUUGGGCGUAAAGCGCGCGUAGGCGGUUUUUUAAGUCUGAUGUGAAAGCCCACGGCUCAACCGUGGAGGGUCAUUGGAAACUGGAAAACUUGAGUGCAGAAGAGGAAAGUGGAAUUCCAUGUGUAGCGGUGAAAUGCGCAGAGAUAUGGAGGAACACCAGUGGCGAAGGCGACUUUCUGGUCUGUAACUGACGCUGGUGUGCGAAAGCGUGGGGAUCAAACAGGAUUAGAUACCCUGGUAGUCCACGCCGUAAACGAUGAGUGCUAAGUGUUAGGGGGUUUCCGCCCCUUAGUGCUGCAGCUAACGCAUUAAGCACUCCGCCUGGGGAGUACGACCGCAAGGUUGAAACUCAAAGGAAUUGACGGGGACCCGCACAAGCGGUGGAGCAUGUGGUUUAAUUCGAAGCAACGCGAAGAACCUUACCAAAUCUUGACAUCCUUUGACAACUCUAGAGAUAGAGCCUUCCCCUUCGGGGGACAAAGUGACAGGUGGUGCAUGGUUGUCGUCAGCUCGUGUCGUGAGAUGUUGGGUUAAGUCCCGCAACGAGCGCAACCCUUAAGCUUAGUUGCCAUCAUUAAGUUGGGCACUCUAAGUUGACUGCCGGUGACAAACCGGAGGAAGGUGGGGAUGACGUCAAAUCAUCAUGCCCCUUAUGAUUUGGGCUACACACGUGCUACAAUGGACAAUACAAAGGGCAGCGAAACCGCGAGGUCAAGCAAAUCCCAUAAAGUUGUUCUCAGUUCGGAUUGUAGUCUGCAACUCGACUACAUGAAGCUGGAAUCGCUAGUAAUCGUAGAUCAGCAUGCUACGGUGAAUACGUUCCCGGGUCU
rnacentral:rRNA from 1 species